rnacentral:rRNA from 1 species
CAAUGCCUGAUUCCCCUAGUAACGGCGAGUGAAGAGGGAAGAGACCAAGAUUGAAAGCUGGCGUCUUCGGCGUCCGCAAAGAAAUCUCAAGAAGUGUUUUCCGUUUCGGACCAUGCCUAAGUCUCUUGGAAAAGAGCAUCAUAGAGGGUGAUAAUCCCGUACAUGGCAUGGAGCGCCCGAGACUUUGUGAUACGCUUUCUAAGAGUCGAGUUGUUUGGGAAUGCAGCUCAAAAUGGGUGGUAAAUGCCAUCUAAGGCUAAAUAUUGGGGAGAGACCGAUAGCGAACAAGUACAGUGAUGGAAAGAUGAAAAGAACUUUGAAAAGAGAGUUAAACAGUACGUGAAAUUGCCAAAAGGGAAGUGGUAGGAGGUCAGAGAUGCGUUCUGGGAUUCAGCCUUGCUUUUGCUUGGUGUUUUUCCCAGAUUGCAGGCCAACGUCGGUUUUGGGCGCUGGAGAAGGGUGGAAGGAAUGUGGCACCUCUCGGGGUGUGUUAUAGCCUUCUACUGGAUACAGUGACCGAGACCGAGGACAGCAGCGUACUCGCAAGAGCGGGCCUGUCCCCCACCUUUACGCUUAGGGCGUUGACAUAAUAAAAAAACAAUAGAAACU